rnacentral:rRNA from 1 species
AGAACGAACGCUGGCGGCAUGCCUAAUACAUGCAAGUCGAACGAACUCUUCGGAGUUAGUGGCGCACGGGUGCGUAACGCGUGGGAAUCUGCCCCUUGGUUCGGAAUAACAGUUGGAAACGACUGCUAAUACCGGAUGAUGACGAAAGUCCAAAGAUUUAUCGCCAAGGGAUGAGCCCGCGUAGGAUUAGCUAGUUGGUGAGGUAAAGGCUCACCAAGGCAACGAUCCUUAGCUGGUCUGAGAGGAUGAUCAGCCACACUGGGACUGAGACACGGCCCAGACUCCUACGGGAGGCAGCAGUAGGGAAUAUUGGACAAGUGGGACGAAAGCCUAG